UGUAAGCGUAUACCAAAGUUGUUGCAGUUAAAACGCUCGUAGUCGGAAUUUGGCAGUUCCGGAUGUGUGCACGUCGUGUGCGCACUUCGCGGGGAUUGCUUUUGUGGUCUUGCGUAGGAUGAGGCACUUUUAUUAGUGAACGUCCUCACGCAACCACUUUUUACUGUGAGAAAAUCAGAGUGCUCAAAGCAGGCAUUUGCCGUGAAUGUAUUAGCAUGGAAUAAUAGAAUAGGACUUGGUUCUAUUUUGUUGGUUUGUUGGGUCUGAGUAAUGAUUAAGAGGGACAGUUGGGGGCAUUUGUAUUUCGGUGCUAGAGGUGAAAUUCUUAGAUUACCGAAAGACAAACUGCUGCGAAAGCGUCUGCCAAGGAUGUUUUCAUUGA
rnacentral:rRNA from 1 species